rnacentral:rRNA from 1 species
UACGUAGGGUGCAAGCGUUGUCCGGAAUUAUUGGGCGUAAAGAGCUCGUAGGCGGCCUGUUGCGUCGGCUGUGAAAACCCGGGGCUCAACCCCGGGCCUGCAGUCGAUACGGGCAGGCUAGAGUCCGGUAGGGGAGACUGGAAUUCCUGGUGUAGCGGUGAAAUGCGCAGAUAUCAGGAGGAACACCAAUGGCGAAGGCAGCUCGCUGGGACGGUACUGACGCUGAGACGCGAAAGCGUGGGGAGCAAACAGG